rnacentral:rRNA from 1 species
UAACAAUGGAGAGUUUGAUCCUGGCUCAGGACGAACGCUGGCGGCGUGCCUAACACAUGCAAGUCGAACGAGGACCAGGGAGCUUGCUCCUUGUAACCGAGUGGCGAACGGGUGAGUAACACGUGACCAACCUGUCCUAGGGUGGGGGACAACCUGGGGAAACCCGGGCUAAUACCGCAUGAUGUCUCGUCCUCGAAUGGGGAUGGGAUCAAGGAGGGCCUCUGCUUGCAAGCUCUCGCCCAAGGAGGGGGUCGCGACGUAUCAGCUUGUUGGUGGGGUAACGGCCCACCAAGGCU